GAGGGUAUAGCCCAGUGGUAGAGUGCAUCCUUAGCAUGCACAAGGUGCUGGGUUCAAUCCCCAGUACCUCCA
rnacentral:tRNA from 1 species